CUAGUUCUAACACCUCUUCACUGCAUUCAUUCUCUCCAUUUCAGUGCUUUCAUCAGUGAUUCGGGCAGGUGGUUUGUUUUCCUAACCUCGAUAUAACCCAAGACUGGGAGGCACAGAACAGAUAAGGAUACAGAGAAAAGGCGAUAACAAUCAAGAUUCAAAAAUGAAAUACAUAUGUGUGUAUAUGUGUAUUUGGAAUAAUGAGAUAAAUGCCUUCAAAAGCCUUUAUGAAGCACUUACUAUUGGCCAGAUUCUCUUUUAAUCUUUGGGAGUCAAUUAUAUUGAUAUAUAAAGUGAAUGAAACAUUUCUGCCUCUGUGGCCCUCUCGUGAAAUUUGAACUGAGGUGUCUUGGUAAGCAGGCAGAGGAAAUCUGCUUCAGAAGAAACAACUACAAUCUUGUUAUGCACAGACAAUGGAAUCAUUACCUGCACAAAGCUGACAUUCAAAUGGUAGAAACAACCAGAUCAUAUAUGAACAUACACAAGAAACAAUGCAUUAAGUAGAAUAAAUCCACAAGAAAUCCAAGGGAAGUGACUGUA
rnacentral:lncRNA from 1 species